rnacentral:tRNA from 1 species
GAGGGUACAGCUCAGUGGCAGAGUGCAUGCUUAGCAUGCACAAGGUCCUGGGUUCAAUCCCCAGUACCUCCA